rnacentral:rRNA from 1 species
ACUAUUAGGUCCUUAUAGAUUAGCCUAUCACAUUUCAAAAGUGUCACACAAGUCCUAAUAACUGAAUUCACAUGAAAAUUGACUAAAUCGAAGCUUGAAAUUUUCACACAUUCAUAAAUACAUAUUCUAGACAAUAAAUAUUACGUUCAAACAUUUCGGUGACUUGGUUUAGCGGUCCCGAAACCACUUCCCGACUAGGGUCAAUUUUGGGCUGUCACAGCCUAUGCAUUUUGUCUCUUGACACGGACAAUGAUCGCGCUCUGUUAUAACCUUUUCGUUGCUUACGUUGCAUGUUGAGGACCAUGCAAUGCUGACAUUAAGGAGGAAUGCUACCUAGUUGAUCCUGCCAGUAGUGAUAUGCUUGUCUCAAAGAUUAAGCUGUGCAUGUGUAAGUGUCACAGACUUAGAUUUUUCCCACAUAAUCCGUGUGGGCUUAGGCAUUUUCUUCACUUUAAAAAUGCCUUAAGUCAGCCUAACUCCCAAUAAUUGAGGAUUCAACAGGAUUCCACUAAGGCACCCACGAAGAACAAGCGGAAGAACAAAAAUUGAAAGAACUCGAAAGAUGAACAAAGCCACAAAAAAGCAAGAACACUAGAGAGAAAGUUUGAGUGAAUGCUCUCAAGAAUUCUAUUACUCACUGAAUGAUUUACAAUAAUGAGGAGAGGCCUUUAGUUAUAGUUGAGCGUCUCCAAAAUCAACAGUACAGAUCAAAGUACAUCAAUAAGAUUAAAAGCUAUCUACAAAUCAAAUAUCUAAGAUUAUAGAAUUGUAUCUUCUAAAGAUUACAUAUCAUAUUUAAGAUUACGUAUAUUUGAAGAUCACGUUCCACAUUUGCCAAGCUUUGUAGAUAGGCCUUCAAUCUCUCCAAGCAAUGGCCUAGUCCGGUUAGGCCAAACCACCUCCUUUGAACAUCAUGGAUCACAGAAGUGCGCCAUGAUUACAGGCUCCCAAUCGCAACCCAUGACAUCCUCUCCCACUUGUUCUAGUGACGUCCUCAUCGCGUCCUCCUCAUAGAGCUGGUCUAUCUUUCCUUGGAACUGUCGGGAAGUCCCUUCCAUUAAACUAAGUAUUCAUGUCACAAUCAAUAGUAAUUUCAUUUGAUCAUAUGGUUUGCCUUUAUGUUUUCAACUUUACAAUCGUAGGAGACCUUUACCCUCAUCGGUGCCCUUUUGAACUUGCCUAGAUUUAGAUCCUCUUUAUCGUCAUGAAAAGGCUUAAGCAUCACAUGAAACACUGUUUGGAAUUUGAGUUUUGUCAGCAACUCAAGCUUGUAGGCCACUCUAUUUACUAUCUUCACAAUUCAAAAGGGUCCUUCAUACCAUCACACAAGCCUCUUCUGCAAACCAUUAUGUCAUAAAACAAGAGUAGUUUAAUAAGGACUAAAUUACCAACCUAAAAUUGCACAUCCCUUUGAUUCUGAUCCACCUACUUCUUGUUGUGCUUACUGGCAUUCUGUAGACGAGCUCUAGCCAAGUCAUUUUUCUCUAGUCAAGCUUUGGGUGACAGCCUGCAGGUUCCCCAAUCUGCCUGUCUUGGAAUACGGAUCAAUGAGUGACAUGUGUGCAAGUCAAUGGGCUAGAAAACCAGUAAGGUGCAAGGAAGCUGAUUGGUGGGAUCCCUCGCGGCAGUAUUGCCGAUCGACCUUGAUCUUUUGAGAAGGGCUAGAGUGAGAGAAUGCCUGUCAAGACAUAAAACAUGGUAAACUAUGCAUGAGCGGGGCGAAGCUGGAGGAAACUCUGGUGGAGGCCUAUAGUGAUAUUGACGUGUAAAUCAUUCGUCUGACUUGGGUAUAGGGGUGAAAGACUAAUCGAACCAUCUAGUAGUUGGUUCCCUGUAAAGUUUGCCUCAGGAUAGUUGGAGCCCUUAAUGAGUUCUAUCGGGUAAAGCCAAUGAUUAGAGGCAUUGGGGGCUUAACACCCUCGAUAUAUUCUUAAACUUUAAAUAGGUAGGAUAGUGCAGCUGCUUCAUUGUGCCAUGCCAUAUAAUCGAGAGCUCCAAGUGGGAUAUUUUUGGCAAGCAGAACUGAUGUUGCGGGAUGAACCGGAAGCAGAGUUAUGGUGCCCAAUUGCGUGCUAACCUAUAACCUACAAAGGGUGUUGGUAAUGAGAGUGUAAAAACUCACCUGCUGAAUCAACUAGCCCCAAAAAUGGAUGGCGCUUAAGUGCGUGACCUAUACUCGGCCGUCGGGGCAAAGGCUAGGCCCUAUUGAGCAUGAGGGCACAAAAGUCAUUGAAAAACUCAAGGUGAGAGCUUGGACAGAAUGGCCAUCGGUGUAGAUCUUGUUAGUGGUAGCAAAUAUUCAAAUAAGAACUUUGAAGGCUGAAGAGGGGAAAAGCUCCAUGUGGAUGAGACUUGCACAUGGGUUAGUCAAUCCUAAAAUAUGGGAGAAGCUCAUCUGAUAGCGAGUCUAUCGUGAGUUUUGAAAGGGAAUUGGGUUAAAAUUCCUUAAUUAGGAUGCGCCUACUGACGUUAACGUUAGGGAGUCUGAAGACAUCAGUGGAGGCAUCGGGAAGAGUUAUCUUUUCUAUUUAAUAGUUUGACAUCCUUAAAAUGGCUCAGCUAGAGUAGGUUCUAGUGGCUGGAAGAACGCUACAUGUCGCGUGGUGUCCGGUGUGCCCCCGGUGGCCCUUAAAAAUCUAAAGGACUGAGUGUUGUCUGUGUUUAGUCGUACUCAUAACCGCAUCAGGUUUCCAAGGUGAAAAGCCUCUGGUCAAUGGAACAAUGUAUGCAAGGGAAGUUGGCAAAAUGGAUCCGUAACCUUGGGAAAAGGAUUGGCUCUGAGGGCUGGGCAUAGGGGUCCUAGUCCCGAACACGUCGGUUGCUGGUGUAUUGCUCGAGCUGCUCUCACAGUGAGAGUAGGUUUCCACGUGCCAGCUAGAGGAUGGACUAGGAAUGACUCCCUUUGAGGCCUUUCUCAGGUAACAAACAAUCGAUUUAGAACUAAUAUGGACAAGGCGAAUCUGAUAGGUUAAUUAAAAUAAUGUAUUGUGAUGGUCCCUACGAAUGCUCAGGCAAUAUGAUUUCUGCCCAGUGUUCUGAAUGGAUUAACAAGAUUCCCACUUUUCUUGUUUACUACCUAGUGAAACUAAAGGCAAGGGAACGGGCUUGGCAGAAUCAGUGGGGAAAGAAGACCCUAUUGAGCUUGACCCUAGUCAGACUUUGUGAAAUGACUUGAUAGGUUUAGGAUAAGUGGGAGCUAUUGGGUGAAAUUGAAAUACCACUAGUUUUAACAUUAUUUUACUUAUUUUGUGAAUCGAAGGUGGGGCCCAACCCUUCUUUUUGGACAUAAGGCCGGCUUCGACCGGUCGAUCUGGGUAGAAGACAUUGUUAUGUAGAGAGUUUAGUUGAGACAACAAAUCUUGUAAAAGAUGACGUAGGUGUCCAGUGAUGAGCUCAAUGAGAACAAAAAUAUCGUGUGGAAUAAAAGGGUAAAAGCUCAUUUGAUUUUGAUUUUCAGUAUUAAUACGAACCUUCAACGCAUGGCUUAUUGAUACUUUAGACAUUUAGAAUUUGAAGCUAGAGGUGUCAGAAAAGUGACCACAAGUAUAACUGGCUUGUCCCACCCAAUCAUUCAUAGCGACGUUGCUUUUUGAUCAUUCGAUGUCAACUCUUCCUAUCAUUGUGAAGCAGAAUUCACCAAGUGUUGGAUUGUUCACCCAUUAAUAGGGAAUGUGAACUGGGUUUAGAUCAUCAUGAGACAGGUUAGAUUUACCCUACUGAUGAUCGCGUCGCGUUGCAUCGCAAUAGUAAUUCAACCUAGUAUGAGAGGAACCGUUGAUUUGCACAAUUAGUCAUUGCGCUUGGUUGAAAAGCCAGUGGCACGAAGCUACCCUGUAUUGAAUUAUCACUGAACGACUCUAAGUUAAAAUCUAGGCUAGAAGCGACGCACGCACCCAUCACCCGAUUGCUGACCCGU